CCUGUGAUUUUGGCUCCUCCCCUUCAUCUGGCAGUGAACAUCUCCGGGCUCGCAUCAGAGCCAGCGUCUCCUCAUCUGAGAGAGAACAGGCCUGCAAACCUCUGCAUAGCUCGAACAGCUUGAGUGACGGCUGUCCAGGCCUGUAGCUGUCCAGUGGAAGGGUCCGGGGGUGGGAGAUAGCCAUACCUAGUCAACCAAUCCUGUGACCGAAAACGGAUAAGAGGUCUGCUUAAUGUAUUGAGAGGCAUCAUAGCAGUCCGGGGUUUUCGUCGUCCGUGGGGGUAACGGGAACUCGGUGGGCAUCUGUCGUGGCAGUUGAGGCAACUGUCGAGCCUUGGAUCCGCA